GCCGGGAGUGGUGGCACACUCCUGUCAUCCGGCGACUCGGAGGCUAGGGGGACGUGGAUGGCUUCUGUCUGGGAUGCACCGGUACCAUUGCCCGCAUGACGAACGGGCGUCCGCACUAGGCUUGCCAUCAACAUGCGGUCUCCGGAGGAGUCCGGGCGAUUGCAGGUUCGCUAAGGAGGGGCGUACCGGGUCAGGGGGGAAACCCAGCAGCCAAAAGUUCCCGUGGCAAGUGGUUGUGGGAUCGCGCCCGAGAGUGGGGGCAUCGUGCCGGCCCAGUUCGGUCAGCCAGACCGUCUCCUGA
rnacentral:SRP_RNA from 1 species